CUUGUCAUUCAUUGAUAUCUAACAAGCACAUGUACAGUAUUCUACACUAUGUAUUAUUUAUGUGACUGCAUCAGCCAUCAGUAACAGCAUCUCUUAAUGAGUCCACAAGGAUUAAUACAACACAUAUUUCCAUAGAUAGGCGGAGCUUAAGGUGGAAUAGAGCAGAAGAGCUCAAAGAGGCUUGAUACACCUACUUAUAGAUCAUUAAAUUCAAAUUACAUACAACAAUGCUCAUCAUCUGCUCUGUUUUAACAUUUGUCUUGAGUUAUGGUGAAGCUAAUAAAAGUCCUAUCAGUUCAGAUAAAGCAUCUGUGUCUUUAAACCAAGGCAGUAAUGCUACUCUGUCCUGUACAUUUGAUGAAUCAGCUUACCGUCUCCACUGGUAUCGACAGAAGUCCGGAUCGAAGUUAGAGUUUUUGGUGCUGAUUGAUAAAUCCUCCAAAUUUGUAGUGCCCGCUAGUCCACCUCUUCCACAUAUGUCCACCAGUCUCCAUAAUAACAAUCGAGUGGAUCUGAUCAUCUCCUCUGCUGCUGUAUCAGACUCUGCUCUGUACUACUGUGCUCUGGAGCCCACAGUGACAGGAAAGCCUGCAACACAGUACAAAAUCCAAGUUUUGAUGAUUAUUUUAAAUGAAUAAAUUACUUGUACUGAGGCUUUUGCAUAUACAGUAUAUAGUCCUCCAUGAUUCUCUGUUUAUACUGCAUUUCAGCAAUCAUAAUUUAACUGCUCAUGAUGACCACCAAUAGAACUAGUUAAAAUGUCAGAAUUGUAGACUACCAGUAAACUAAUAACUAAUUGCCAUGAUCUGUGGUUUGACUAGCUAAACUCCAUUUAUUCUUAUUUUAUUCACACAUUUUUUUUCUACCUCAAAACAAU